GUCAGGAUGGCCGAGCGGUCUAAGGCGCCACACUCAAGGUACAAUUCCUUUUCAUGAUACAUGGGAGAGUGUUCUGGUCUCCUAAUGGAGGCGUGGGGUUCGAAUCCCACUUCUGACA
rfam:Nematostella vectensis strain CH2 x CH6 NEMVEscaffold_29_Cont5124, whole genome shotgun sequence.